GGGACCUUCAAGGACCACCCACCAGCCACUGGGCCUUUUAUGACAGGAACAGGAACCACAGAGCGUCAGCCGCACACAUCGAAGCUGCACAGGGCACACGCGGCACCACGCAGAAUAAAUGACGUUCCUGGGCCAAGGCCGAAGCCCAGCCACCCGCUGCCUCCUCGCCGCCUCCUCCUGGGACCUUCAAGGACCACCCACCAGCCACUGUACACCCUGAAGCCGUGUGUGGACCAGGAGAUCAGCAGAACAGGAACCACAGAGCGUCAGCGGCAGACAUCCAAGCUGCACAGGGCACACGCAGCACCAG